UGACAUCCUGGAUGUAAUAAACAUAGAAGUUUCUAGCAAAGGCGGAGCUUUGGUUGGCUGGGUCUAUAAACGGCAGCUUCACAUCACUUCUUUCCUUUCUGCUGGCAGAGUGUGCUCUGACCAGGCUGUCCUGCUGACGGCAUUUCUCAGGGGGUCCAAUUACAAUGGAGCUCCGACCUUUUACGCUUGCUUAACUUGUUAUUCAGGAGGAGAAAGAAGAGACUGCUCCCAAGGGCAGGCCAGCAGUGUCCCGAGUCUCUCCGGAGUCCAGUGAUGCUGUUGUGCAGAUCCAGUGCUUGGUAGAAAAGAACCAUCUGAAGAAUGAAAAGCACUGACCUCGAAGCAACGUAUCAACUACGAGACAAAACUGAAGCAACCACAAAACGCAAAAAAUGAAACCCCCCCGUCACAUAAUGCAUUAUGCAUUAUGAUGAGCCGCGUCACUACGCAGGACGCAACGUGCUGUUGGCGCGGGGCUAGGUUUAGACGGAGAGCAGUUCGGAUUUGUAUGCAGCGUUACAUGACUCUAAUAAAACUUGAAGUAUUGUUCCAAAAAUUUUUUUUUGGAACAAUACCUUGUUUUAUUAACGAGUCAUGUAACGCUGCAUACAAAUCCGAACAUGCUCUCCGUCUAAACCUAGCCCCGCGCCAACAGCACAUAAUGCAUUAUGUGACACCCCCCCUUACCCUUUGGUCAAUCUGUAUCCUAACCUCCGGGUUAGUUUAUGGAGGGCCGGCUUCUGGCUGUCUGCGUUGCUUGGUUCGGCAUGGUUCGAGGGGUCAUGUCGAUAAAACGUAUUUGUGCUCCCUUUUUGUAUUUAAGGCAUGCUGCAUUGUUUCCUACUGUUUAUUAAAAAAAAAAAUCAAAUAAAAAUAGAAAAACUUGAAACUGAA